CCAAUUUAUUUAUACAACAUAAAAUAAUAUAUAUCUUUGUUUAAUGCAUGUCAAUAUAUAUUUUAUUUUUUAUGUUAUUUAAACAACACAUUCAAAAACACCAAUAUUUAAAAAACAUAAAAAUAAAAUCAAAGUUUAAAGUAUAAAAAUAAAAACCCUGGCAAUAACCUACUCUCCCGCGA
rnacentral:misc_RNA from 1 species